AAUAAAUAUAGUUUUGCACUAUUCACGUUUAACGUUUGACCGUUCGUCUUAUUUAAAAAAAUUUUAUGAUUAAUAUUUUUAUUACUAUUAGAUGAUAAAACAUGAAUAAUACUUUAUGUGUGACUAAAUAUUUUUAAAUUUUUAAUAAAUUUUUAAAUAAGACGGAUGGUCGAACGUUGGACACAGAUAUCUACGACUGCACUUAUU
rfam:Oryza rufipogon genomic scaffold, chr01